AUUGAACGCUGGCGGCAGGCCUAACACAUGCAAGUCGAGCGAGCGGCGGACGCGUGAGUAUUGUCUGGGAAACUGCCUGAUGGAGUGGGAUAAAUACUGGAAACGGUAGCUAAUACCGCAUACCCUCAGAUGUGCCCAGAUGGGGGUAGCUAGUAGGUGGGGUAACGGCUCACCUAGGCGCCGAUCCCUAGCUGGUCUGAGAGGAUGAUCAGCCACACUGGAACUGAGACACGGUCCAGACUCCUACGGGAGGCAGCAGUGGGGAAUAUUGCACAAUGGGCGCAAGCCUGAUGCAGCCAUGCCGCGUGUGUGAAGAAGGCCUUCGGGUUGUAAAGGACUUUAAGCGGGGAGGCGUUACCCGCAGAAGAAGCACCGGCUAACUCCGUGCCAGCAGCCGCGGUAAUUC
rnacentral:rRNA from 1 species